CUGAGCCACAACAGGAAAUCUUGGACUGACAGACUCUUUAUGAGAGGCUGCUUGAUGAAGUAAUUAGGGUGAGGCUCUGGAGGCAUACAAGCUGGUUUGAGUCCACCUUAUCACUCUCAAGCUGGAUAAUUUGGUCCCUGUACCUCAAGUUUCCUCUUCUGUAAAAUGGGAUAAAUAACAUCCCUUAGUUCAUUGGGUGGUUCAGAUUAAAUGAGGAGGUAUUAAACAAAUAAGAAGUAUUUAGCUCAAAGGAAUUACCUCUUAUUACAAGAGCAAAGAGUUUGACUGCCAGGCAUGUUUUUAUAAGCGAGAUCUGCAGAAAUAGGCAUUUGCAGAAUGAGGGCUGUGCAAAUCCUAGCUAUAUAGAAUGCCUGGGACAAUGCCUCAUAAGCAAAAGAAUUUGGGAUUUCUUUAAUUCUAUAUUGCCUCAAUUCUACAGUGUUAGUAUUUGAUUUUUUUCAAGGAUUUAAGUUAUGGAAAUCACCCUUUGCAGAAACAAAGUAAAAAAAAAUCGCAAUCUGAAAACAGAUGCAUUGUAUUUUGGGAUGUAAAUUAAACCUUUUAAGAGGCUUUAUGAGGUAGCUUUUCCAGGAUAAUUGCAUUGCAGAGACUCUAGGCCAAUCCAGUUUACCCAAAUGUCCCCUAGCUAUGGAUGCAAAGGGGUCACAUAUAAAUUGAUGCCAUAAUUACAGUGUCUCUGAAUCCAGUAGAUGUUCAAGAAAAUCUUCAGUGCCCCUUGGCCCAGUUAUUGCUGGCAGGCUCUGAGGGGUGUCUCCAUGUGUCUGUGGGAACAUGCCUCUUUCUGUCUCUCCUGCUCCACCUGCCCUGGCUGACUGCCUGUAAAGGAAACUCACAUGUGCCCUGCUGAUGCUACUGCCUGUCCUGGGAUGGCAAUGUCCAUGGUCACGGACACUGUCUCCUGUGACCCCAAAGCUGUCAGCUCUUGGAGAGCCAAAGUAGCCAUGGUGGUGGAGUGGGUCCGCCCAGCCCCUGGGACCAGUCAUUUCAUUCUGGUCCCAGCAAUCACUGUGCAUGGUCAGAGUCCACAAAGUCACUUAUGAAAUCUGUUCUGUCACCUGGCUUUAGCUAGCAACACCUCCAAGGCACCUCAGUUGACCUGGCAGGGAAGAGAGACCAGGCUGUCCCCUGCAACAUCUUCAUCUCCCUUCUCCUCUGCUACCCCAAUUCUGAACACCCCUCCCUACUCCCCAAGUUCUGAGAAGAGCUUCCAAGGCAUCAUCAAACAGAUGCAAACCAGAGGAAAGCUACCUGGCUAGCAGGGAUCAAACAUCAGCUUCAUCAGCCAAAGGCUCUGUGAUGCUGCAACCAGUGCUCAAUACAGUCCUUUGCUUGGCAUUAGUGGCCUAUAAACCUAAAUUGAGAUUUUCAUUAACUUGUAAGAAAAAACAAACCUCAAAUAGAACCCUUACUUUGCUCCACAUUUGUGUCCAGUUGUUUCUCCCUCCAGACCCAGAUAAGGUGAGUGAGGCAUAAAAAAAAUGAGGAACGAUGUAAAAGUGAUAAAGGCAUCAAUAUACCAAUGGGAAAUGCAGAAGAUGGUUUACUACAGGUAAAUUAAUAUUGUAGAUAUUCAUUACAGGCUGAUACAAGACAGCAAGCUAUCAAAGUAAUGAUUCUUUCAAAGGGCUCUUUGGCAAAGGCUGUAAUGCAUUGGUUAAUAUUUCUUAUUUAACUAAAAGUCAUGAUUAAUCUUCAUUUCUGCCUAAAAUUAACUUCUUCCACUUCAGUAAAUUGACCAUAUAGAAUUAGAAUGAAUUCCUUUAUUCCUUCACAGCAUAGUACUGAAUUUCUACUGUGUAUAGGCACUGUUUGGAUUGGUGGGGGUGGGUACGAUAUCUGAUUGACCAAGUGGACCAGGCCCUGACUUCAUGGGUUUUCCUUUUGGUAAUUGAGGGACAAUCAACAAACAAAGGAGAAAUACUUAACAUCAGGUAGUGAUCUCAAAGAUAAACAAAGGGACUACAGGUGAUGGUAUUUUAGAGAGGACCAAGUCAGUCUCUCUGGAGGUGACAUCUAAGCAGCUGUGGGAUCGAAACAGGGCAGCACUGAAAUGGGGUUAUCUGGAGAGAAGCAUGUCCAGUAGGGAAAAUAGCAAGUGCAAAAGUCCUGAGGUGCUCAAUACAGUUAAAGAGCAGAAAUGGGGGCAGAGAGGGACAGAGGGAAGGGAUGCCAAGAAGUGGUGUCAAGUGUGCCUUGCCAUAGUUGCUCCUGGUGAGAGCUUGGAUUUUCCCCUGCGUAGGUGAUAAUUACAGCUUAUUUCUGACAUUAGAAUCUAAAAAUAAUCUGAACAUUUCUUUAGCAGAUGCUAUGCUAAAUGCAGGCACCCUGAUCCUCUUCAGGCCUUACAUACCCAUUGAGUCCCCUCAAAUCAAACCCUUUUCAACCGGAAGCUGCAGGUUUAAGGGAACUGCGUCAUCCAAGCUCACACCCCUGCCACACCAGCCGCAGCCAAUGGCUGUUCAUCGUGAGCGCCCAGCCCCUUGCCUCGGCUGAAAUACCUCUAAGGGUCAGGCUAGUUUUCCGCCUUCUGUGGAAUGGGCAGAACUCUGCUGCCAUUGCACCGCAGUCUGAGAUCUCCUUCCCUCAUUCCUGCUAGCCUCAUCCCGUACACCUGUUAAGACUACUCAGUAAAUCUCCGAGUCUCUCCCUGAGAGAUCUCAACCAGGGAUGAUUCUGAACAACAGACUCCAUUAUACACAUCUCUGUGGAUGGAGAAUAAAAAGACAACAGAUGUGUUCCCACAAGUUGACAGAAACGCAGGUGUAGGUAGAGAAUUCUAACUGUCCACCUGUCUCAAUGGAAUUCUGCUUCCUUGGUCAGCCAUGUCUCCAGCCUUUGUCAGCUGACCUUACAGAUCUGGAAGUGACUCGGAGGAUAUCUUCCUUUCAAAGUUGGGAUUGCCUCCCCUCCUUCAGAGAGAGGUCAUUGAUGCUGGUUGUCCUGAAGGUUUGAGAGGCAGAGACCCUGGGUUCCCGGGCCAGGCUGAUGCUG